rnacentral:rRNA from 1 species
UGCCAGCAGCCGCGGUAAUACGUAUGGAGCGAUCGUGGUCCGGGAUUAUUGGGCGUAAAGGGUACGCAGGCGGUUUAAUAAGUCGAAUGUUAAAGAUCGGGGCUCAACCCCGUAAAGCAUUGGAAACUGAUAAACUUGAGUAGUGGAGAGGAAAGUGGAAUUCCUAGUGUAGUGGUGAAAUACGUAGAUAUUAGGAGGAAUACCAGUAGCGAAGGCGACUUUAUGGACACAAAAGGAAGCGGAGGUAAGCACGCGUGGGGCGCAAACAGGAGUAGAUC